UACGGAGGGUGCAAGCGUUAUCCGGAUUCACUGGGUUUAAAGGGUGCGUAGGUGGGCAGGUAAGUCAGUGGUGAAAUCUCCGAGCUUAACUCGGAAACUGCCGUUGAUACUAUUUGUCUUGAAUAUUGUGGAGGUAAGCGGAAUAUGUCAUGUAGCGGUGAAAUGCUUAGAUAUGACAUAGAACACCACUUGCGAAGGCAGCUUACUACACAACGAUUGACGCUGAGGCACGAAAGCGUGGGGAUCAAACAGG
rnacentral:rRNA from 1 species